UUGUAAGAGUUGCCAUGGUCAUGGUGUCUCUUCACAGCCAUAGAAAUCCUAACUAAGACACCCAGAAAGACAAAUAUCAUGUUUUCUGUCAUUUGUGGUUCAAGGAUCUUAUAUAGAGACAUACUUAAAAUCAUGUAUGUAUACAUGACAUGAACGGAAAAGUAAAACUGUCUAGGGGCAAGAGAUUAACAGGAACAGGGAGAAAGGUGUGUGUGAGAGAGAAGGACAGAAUAUGCCCAACACAUAAUACAUACCAUGAAAAAUUGAAAGUAAAUAAUUCAUUUCCAAAUAGUGAUUUUUUUCCUUCCUAUUGUAUUUUCAUUUGACCUUCAUUUACAUAAAACAUGCUUUUUUUUAAAUUCUGAGAGUUACAAGAAGAUUACAAUUAGAAACUGAAGUCACAUGUAUUACAGGUGAAUUUUUCUCAUGUGCUGGAGACAAUGUCUGGCUAGAUAGCCCAGGUAGCCUGACAUUCAUUAUCCUUCUGACUGGCCCUCCUGAGUUCUGGGAUGAGAUGUGUGUCACAGUGCCCAACCAUUCCAGGUUAGUUUUUACAGACCUUCCUUUCCUGAACGUCCUGUGUGUCCUGCAUGUUGAGAAAAGAACAGUGUACGCAAUGAGGAGUCCAGGUUUGGCUUUGGGUGAACAAUGGUCCACUCCACCGGUGGUCGGUCAAGUGGCCUCAGCAAGUUCCUGGGAGCUGCUUCUCAUCGGUUCAUUUCGUUUUAUAUUACCUUAUCUUCUAUGUUCUGGUGGGAUUUUCUUGUUUGUGUGAGACAGGUCUCACAUAGUUGGUCUCCAACUUGCUAUACAAUCAAGGCUGACCUUGAGCUUCUGGCCCUCCUGGUUCCUCACACUGAGUGCUGGGAUUACAGGUGUGUGUGUGCCACCGAGCACAGUAGAUACCACAGGUACAGCAUUCAAUCCCCUUUUACUUCUUUGAGUUUAUCUGCUGUCCUGCUUGUCUGCUCCUUCGUAGUCCCACUCAGUGUUUCUGGAAGAUUCUGUCUACCAUGGACCUCCAAACAGCUUUCUCCCUCUUUAUCCAAUCCCCCCCUCUCUCUUUCCCUCUCCCUCCAUCUUUCUUUACCAUCAUACUAUCUCCUCAGAAAGGUCUUUCCUCAAUAUCCCUUAAAGAUAUUACUCUUAUCCUCAUUAUUGCCUUGACUAUGUAUUUCUAUUAUGGAAAAAUAGACACAAUGUAAAAUUAGCCAAUACAGCCAUCUGAAGCAUACAAGCCAGUAGCUUAACAUGUUUUCAGUAUUGUGCAACCCUUGCCUCCACUCGUCUCCAGACUGUUUUCAUCAGUACAAACAGAAACUUUGCACUGCAUGGCUGUUUUGAUGGCCUUCUAUUUACCUGUUGAUGAGGGAGAGAUCCCUGCCCUAGGGGGUGUAGGGAAGGCCAAACACAUGCCCUGUGACCCUGGAAAGCUGAGGCAGAUGACUAUGUCAACUUACCAGUCAUAUCCACUCACAGCCUGGAGGACGAAUUCAGCAUGUGCCACACAGGGCUCUCCUCCAGAACAGAGAGAUGAACAGGAAAGUUAUAGGAGUCUGGGUAAGAUAACCUCUGGCUCUCCCCAAAUGGUGUGAUAGCUUGUUCUAAAACUUCCAGUGGCUGCAGGGAACCAAAGCCCACCACCUUAAGCAUCUGUAGGAACUGCCCUGAGCCCCCAGGGCAAAGUAGUCUGUUUGGCUGGGAGAUCUUAUCCAUGUGAACAUGUUGAGGAGAGUAACAUGAAAUCAAGUCAUUCAAGGUCCCUCAGUGUCAUCAGACGUCAAAAGCUGCAUAAUGGUAAGCCUUAGUUUUCAGACUUCCACCAAAGUCAUUUCCUAUCGCCUUUCCAUGUUUCAGUCUGUUGGGCACUUGCCAACACACCUUGUUUAUUCAUUAUAAUCUACCCAUUCACAUGAAAAGAUCAUCAGGGUAAGGAUUUCUCCAUGUUCGGUCUCCUGCUACAUCCUCAAUGCUCCAAGAAUACUGAGCACACAGAAUUACCUCAAUAAAUAUCUGUUUAAUCAAUUGUUUCACAUUUUGUCAUAUUUGUAAAUGAAUUUUCUUAUCAAGUAUCCAAUUUUACGAAUCCCUGUGAGAUAGGUUUUUGCAAUGAUGACAUAUCGCUUCUGAAUAAACAGGGUGACUGAUGCUAGACAAACACAUCUCUUAGAUCUUCAGAGAGGCUUCCCUGUGCCGAGGAUGCCGCAGAAAUACAGAACUGAUCAGAGCACAGAGAACAAACGUCAGUGCAGUGCUCAGCCACAAAUGGAACAUCCGCAUCACACCCCACCCCCAAAGCUUAGGGGACAUCACGGACAAGAGAGCAGAGAGAUCGUAAGAGCUGGAGGGCUUGGAGAGCACCAGAGCGAAACUGUUUCCUGGACCACAGAACCCCUGAAUGCCCUGCAUCUGUGGAUGCCUGUACAAAACCGGUACAGGAUCAAGCUGGCCGCAUUGCAGCAUGAAAGGGUCUCGGCCCUAGAUGACGAGCUAUUGACAGUCCGUCUCGAUGCUCCAAUUUACCUUAAAGAAAUGCCUGCAAAAGCCAGCCUUGGACUUAGCCUAGAACCCUAAUGCCAGGCCUCCGUUUCCCACCGGCAAAUUGGAUAGCCUUGAGGCAGCCAUUUGGCUUUUGCACAAUUUAGUUUCCUAACCUGUAAAAUGGGGUAAGAGCCAACCUACCCAUGUUGUACAAGGAUGGUAUUAAAUGUAAUUAAAUAGUAGGCCAAAGGCUUAUUAAACAUCGGCGGCGGCGGAGGCUUAAUGCUGUCGUCAUUACCCAAUACAAGGUCAUUUGCUUGUCUCUAACCCUAGGGGCCCAGCUCAUGGCUGCCCUGACUUCAAAGCCCCAAACCCACCUCUGCCGUUCUCACGGAGCUGCUGACCUUGCAUUCGGGAUGACAGGGUCUCACUCCACAGCCAUGGCUAGCCUGGAACUCGCUAUGUAGACCAAACUGAUGGAAAACUCACAGAGAGCUACUUCUUUAACAUCUGCUCUAAGUACUAUGAUUAAGAGCCAGACUAAGACAGACAGACAGAUGUACCCCCACAGCAUGGGUGUGGGCUUAUGUAAGAGACGUGUCAUGUGGUUACAACAGUCAUACAUAAAAUUUUGGUGGGUUUUGAAGCUAUGAAUUUCAAAGGGUGAUCAAGGAACAUGAGGGAGGUCACGGGAUGGUUCCCAAGGAGCACAUGACAGGAUUAUAGUUAAUAAGGUAAAACUCGGGAUCACGGGGGAGCUGGAAGGUAGGACGUCUUUACUGUAAACAAGGUUUAGUAGAAUUGUUUCCCUCCAGGAAAUUAGUGGGCAAAGGAAGGAAGCUCUACUCAAGGUCAUACACAAAUAGGCCUCAAGUCUGGGUCAUUGGUAUUUUAGUAAUAAAAUAUGUAUACAUCAAAAUGUGUAUAUGCAAGGGAAUAUCAUCCUUACGUCAGCAACCUUCAUAGCCAGCAUUGUCAAUCACGACGGAACUGUUGCUUCUCAGCAGGUGAGGAGCUUCAACCAGACUCUGGGGUGAGUGGUCCCUUCCCCUCCCAUCCUCAUCAUCUUCCCCAUCUUUCUAUCCUGCCACAGGUUUUAGACUCCCCUGAUGUGGAAAGAGGAGACGAUAAUUUGCAGGGAAGGGAUUCUGCUGCCAGCUUGAACUUAACGUGUGUUCAAUAACAGAGCAGACGAUUUUUUGUCAAGGAAGGUAUCAAACACUGUAGCGUAAGAAGAGGUCGAUGGGGGUGUGGGGGGUGGGGGUGGCAAGGAUACAUAGACUGCUCUCUUCAAUGUGUUAAAAUGGUAGUGCUUUGACUUAAAAAAGAAAUGCUGAUGCAUGCAGUCUGGGGUUCCCCUUGUGAUGAUUGGAGUGAAUGUCUUCAUCUACACCACUGUAGGGGGAGAAUUAUUACUACCUACAGAGGGUAUAUCCUUCCUCCUGGAAUGGCCGUAUGUUCCAGAGGAAACCACCAUAGUAUCCAAUACCGGCCUUGGUGUUUGAAGGAAGGGUCGCAGGCUGGCCCAUGCUCUCCUUGUAACCCAGGCUGUUCUUAAGCUCCAUUCCUCCGGCCUCAGUUUCCCCAGUCUACCGCCAUGCCUGGUCUGAUGCUAUCAUUUCAAAGCAAAGGUAGCCUGUCCUAAAGUAAUUGUUGCCUGAAGCACACCUCUCUGCCCUGUGCUCCCACAGGUUCACACCAUUUAGUCCCAAUUGCUGGAACCUUCUCUGCGGUUGCCCAGCAACCCUCAAGCCAAGGCGGUCCCUGUCCGCAAUGCCUACCUAUGGAGUCUAAGCCACUGCAGUGUCUUAGGCUUUGUUGGUGCGAUUCUGCUGGCUUCCUCCGCCUUUGAGGGGACUGGGAACAACAGCCAGGGUCCCCGAGAGGACAGUGGGACAGUGGGGAGCUAAAGAGAGCGUCUUCUCAAACCAGAUUUCCACCUCAACCAGCUUGGUUGGGUGCCUCUGAAAUUCACUCAGGAACGAACUCGCCUCAUUAUCUUAAAUCAUACCUCCUUCUGAAAAUGGCAUCUGUAGGCUCGCCUGGGGAAUGUGCGUUCCUCCAAUUAGUGAAAUGUUUACCUUUGAAUUGCCAAGUGUUUUCUUCUUCCAGCCAUUACAUAACUGCCUCUAUCUGAACCAUCUGGGAAGACGCCCCACUUCCUCAAAUCCGUAGUCUCCUGAACAGGAGGCGGGGCUUGUUAUCAAAGUACGUUCUGCAUGACGGGGGGCCUCCUGACACCGAAUCUCUCCUUGGGAACCGCAGCUUAACUUCUCAGCGACACACAUGUAAAGACGAGUUUAGGGCUCUGUUUGUGAAAAACCAGCUGAGCUUUGACCAAUCGCUACAGCCAAGCCCCAGCCAAUCACAGACUGCCAACUGAUCAGGCCACUUUCCAAGGAGGCAAACGCCCAGCUGUCAGCGGUCCAGCUCCGCCAUCCCUGUCCCGGGAUGCUGUCCGCCCAUGAUGCCCUGGGGAGGUCUCUGAGCUCACCUGAUUCUGACAGCCAUCUGAUACAAAUCGCUCUUCACUCUCACUCGGCACCCAAACUUGUUAAAUGUUGAACCCGUCAGCAGGUUUUCUCUGAAAACCUGUCCCAGCUCCAAGAGCUUUUCACUGUGGCUAGAGUCUCCUGGGUUCUCGGGUCCUUACUUAAGUUUCCCGGGUUUGCCCCUUGUUAAUCCUUCGAAGGGGAUUCCAGCUUCUUAACUUUGGAUUGCUCUUGGUUCUAAUAGCUCAAAUGUCCACAAGGGAGGACAUGCCACAUGGUCAGUUCUGCCCAGGGCAAUGUGGAUACAGUUCCCAAGGAUGAGGGGAGGGGAAAGCCUUGAACUAGGGAAACCAAGAGGUCUCCUCAUAGCUGUCACCUGGGGUGGAAUGCAGUUAUCCCGUCUCAGAUUCAAAGGAGAUUAUUAGAAUUUUGGUACGCUGAGCUGGAAGAAUCCUGGGACCGAGGAAUGGAGAAACUAUGCACCUGUUCGCAUGAAGCUUCCUCAGCCGGGCUUUAGAAUUUCAGUCUCUCGCAGAUAUUUAUGCAGUCAUAGAACUUUUACCAUUCCAGGAUCAUGUCUAAUGGAUUUAAAAAAAUUAGUUUAAAUAUAAAUAAAGUCUCCUGAAUCUAAAGAAAAGAUCCCCUAAUUAAAUUGGUUUAAUCAUCCAUAUUAUAUCAAUGUGUUGAAAUAUCCACACUGUACUCUGCAAACAUGCCAGUUUUAUGUGAGGUAGUAAAAUGGUUUAAGAGAUUA